CCAGGCUCUGGCAACACGGUCACAGCCACGGAGGCCCUGCCUGUCCCCAGGGCCCUCACAGGGGAGGAAAGGGUCCUGCUGAGCCCCUAACUCAAUGAGCCCUCCCCAAGGGCCUCUCUAAAUAGUUCCUUCCUGCCCAGAGACCGCCCAGCACCACGUCCAACUCUCACCACCUUCCCAGGGCAUCGGCCCCCCGCACCAAGUCCUCGUGUCCAGGAAGCUGCCCACCGGUCCUCCAGGAGGCCUUCAACCAGACCCUGUCCAUGCCCAGCCAGGGCCCACCCACCUGACGGACAGCGUGAAGCCCCCCGGGCUGCUCUCGCUGGGCCUGGCAAGGAAGUCCCCACGCUGACCUCUGGAUAGGAACAGCUUCUCCGCCUCCACCCUGCUGACGUUGGGGUGAAGCCACCUGGAGUGGGGAGAGCAGGAUCUCGGACUUCCAGCCUCCAGAGCUGAGGGAAGGAGCGCCUGCCCGCCCAGCUUAUGGUCACUCCCUCAGAAGCCCAGCUGCCUGACGAUGGGUUCUUAUCUCCCAGACGGCAGAAGCUGUUCCCCGCACUGUGGCGUCCCAGCCACCCUGUCCCAGGACCUUCCUCGUCUGCAGCCCCCCAUGAGGUCAGGGCUGCCCCGGAGCCCACGUCUGAGAUCACAACUGCUCCUUACUUUUGUGGCACUGGACUCCGGAGCUCAGGACUACAUUGUACUCAGGCGGCAGCCCCAGAGCCCAGAAUGUCAGCAAAAAAGAGCCACACCUGGGCGGCUUCUGGACACCUGGCUCUUGGGCAUCUCCUGGCUGCAUAGAUGAUACCCAGGUGGGGCCUGCUGGCUCUAGGACCUCCGCCCCACGCUGGCCCAGCCUGGUUGUCAGUGGAGUCAUAACCUGUGCACGAAUGGGUGGGGGUUGCUGUGCCCUGGGCGGACCCUGCUCUGGCCCCCAUGGCUGGUCCAGAGGAGGAGGAAGGUUGAGGGCGGUCCUGCCCCCUCUGCCCCACAAAGGGCAGCUGCAGGGCUCUUUCUAGAAUGGAGGCCUCACCGCAGUCUCUGUUAAAGGCCUCCAUGACCAGGCUCAUGCCUAUAAUCCCAAUUACUCAGGAGGCGGGUGGAUUGCUUGAGCCCAGGAGUUCAAGACCAGCCUGGGCAACAUAGCCAGACCUCAUCUCACUUAAGAAGAAAUAAAAAAUAAAGGCCUCCACAGGCUUUCACCCCUGAGAAUGGAGCCAAGAUCUCCCCUCCUCUGCAGCACCCGCAGGUCCUGGCUGGUCCCCCUGGGGACCCCAUCCCCGGCUCCAGCCCACCCUGGCCAGGUCCCUCUCCCGGGGCCCCAGCUCCUCCUCCUCCUUUGGGCCCUGCCUCCACUCCUUGCAGCUCCUGCCCCUCUGCUCCCCUCUGAGCACAACUUCUGGAAGAAGUUUGUAUGGCUGUGUGAUUUGUAAAUAGGAAUGAAUUAAAAUUCAUGGCCGGGUGCGAUGGCUCAUGCCUGAAAUCCCAGCACUUUGGGAGGCCGAGGCAGGCGCAUCACCUGAGGUCAGGAGUUUGAG
rnacentral:lncRNA from 1 species